GAGGUCAGAAGUAGCCCUGGAGCCUGCGGGGUGGAGGUCAGAGGCCGCCCUGGAGCCUGCGGGGUGGAGGUCAGAAGCAGCCCCUGCAGUCCCAGCCUUGCGGAGCUGCCUGACCCGGGCCUGGUGCCGGGCGUGGGCUGCAGAAACUGCUUCAACCAGCUUCAAGAGACUUAAGUGGAACAAAGAACUUUGCAGCGAAUCAAAGGGCAACCCAGUGAAUGGAAGGAACAGGGAACUGGAACAGGGUCUGCUGGUGUGCAGGCGUGUGUUCUUAAAAGCACGUCAUCCCAAUGCCAAGACAAGACAUGAAGUAUUGAGCAGCGAAAGGAGACUUGAUCCAGUAAAAUAUUUUACAUCCCCCCACUGCCAAAAAUUGCAAUAGUCAUACAUGAUUUUAGUGUGAAAGAGAAUCCCGUAUCAAUGUAUCUGUCUGCAUAACACCUCUGAGCACUUCACAAAUUUGUCUUACCUGGUGUGCUGAUUGCCUGAGUCGGACUGGGGUUUUUGGUACUCCACUGUCCAUAGAGUUUCACUCCUUUAAAUUGGUUACUUUUUAAAAUGCUAUUUUGAUGACUCUUAGCACUUCAUCAUUUCCCUUCAUUAACACGGUGCAGAUGGAUGUCCGUGUGUUCAUUCAUUUCUAUUUUCAUAGCAAAUAAUCUUUGGAAAUAUUAUUAGUUGCUAGUAGCUUCAGCAGUCACCUCUCACAGUGUUUCUAGUGUAACACUUCCUGUUUGUAUGGCAGACGGCAGCUUGAGUUUUUAAUGCUAAAUUUUUGUUCUUUUUACCCAGUUUAUUCUUUGGGAUCAUGUGACUUCAAGGCUGACUGAUUUCUCUGAUGCUGGUUGUGUAGUGAACACUUCUCUGGGAUAGCUCAGUGGUUUGAGCAUUGGCCUCCUAAACCCAGGGUUGUGAGUUAAAUCCUUGAGGGGGCCGUUGGGGGCAAAAAUCUAGCUGGGGAUUGGUCCUGCUUUGAGCAGGAGGUUGGACUAAAUGACCUCCUGAGGUCCCUUCCAACUCUGAUAUUCUAUUAUUCUUUCCUGAGCAGACAUAUUUGCAUCUGAAUGACUGUGACCCCCCCGCCCCCCACCCUGUUCAUGUGGAUGUCAUGGAAAUAAAAAAAAAACAAAUUUUAAACUAAAGAAAUUA
ensembl:lncRNA